GCCAGGAAGACCGGAGCUGAGCAACAUGGCAAGGGAGGAGGGAAAUGGGGAACCACAGUGCCAGCAGCAGCAGCCGGUGCACAGUGACUGAGGUGCUGCUGAAUCUAUCACUGAUGACUGUAUUGCCCUGUGUAACCUGCUGCACCAGGCCAGCGAUGUUCUGCAGGGUGCUGCCAGCAUUACCGUCAUAUCCCAGUUGGAUUUUCCACUGUUCCACACACACCAACCUUGUACUGAAGCUAUCCUUACUCUACAUUGCUGUUGCCUAGCAUCCGCCUCUUCGCCCUACCCAGUUCCCAGCACACCCUGCACCGAUAGACAAGCGCCGAUGACUUUGCGAUGCCAGCGCCACCCCGACGCGCAGCGGAAGGAGAGACCACACGCUGAGACUUCGGUCUCCUUAUUUAAGAUUUCUGGGGGACUCUCAUUGGACCUGAGCCAGGAUACACCCUCUGCACUGGUAUUUCCAUCAGGGGGAGCUACUGGCCACAGACCCAACAUCAGAUCCUCCACCUUUAAGUAUAUUUUCACUCAUUUUUAGACCUGUCCACCUGUACUCUCACCUGUCUGGUCACUGUUUUAAUAACACACGAGUAGGCAGUGGAUGCAGAACAGGGGCUAAGUGAGCCUUUUUUUCUACAAACCACUCCAAUUUGGAGCUUAAACAGAAGACCCACACCCACACCAAAUAUAUCUAUAAUUAAUAGAGAUUACACUAUUAUUUACUCCUUAGAGCACAAGAGUACAUUUCAUCUUAAAGUUACAAUACUUAUUAUUAUAUAUACAUAUAUAUCUUUUUGUGACUUGUGCGUCUGUGCCAAUUUGUUGGAUAUUACCCAUUCAAGACUAGUAUAGUACUAAUAUAGGGCAUUUUGAGAUAAAUAUCCUACCAUUCAGUUAUUUUUGCCAAUUUUAUAAAAAUUUGUGUAUUUCAUUUUGUUUAAUGUCUAUUUGUCAUGCACAUGUAUUGUGUAUUUAAUUUUGAUUUUAUUACGCACAUAUAUAA